rnacentral:rRNA from 1 species
CGAAAGCCUGACGGAGCAAUACCGCGUGAGGGAGGAAGGCCUUUGGGUUGUAAACCUCUUUUCUCAGGGAAGAAGUUCUGACGGUACCUGAGGAAUAAGCAUCGGCUAACUCCGUGCCAGCAGCCGCGGUAAUACGGAGGAUGCAAGCGUUAUCCGGAAUUAUUGGGCGUAAAGCGUCCGCAGGUGGUCUUUCAAGUCUGCUGUUAAAGACCAGAGCUUAACUCUGGGCAGGCGGUGGAAACUGGAAGACUAGAGUUCGGUAGGGGUAGCGGGAAUUCCCAGUGUAGCGGUGAAAUGCGUAGAUAUUGGGAAGAACAUCGGUGGCGAAGGCGCGCUACUGGACCGAAACUGACACUCAGGGACGAAAGCUAGGGUAGCGAAAGGGAUUAGAUACCCCUGUAGUCCUAGCUGUAAACGAUG